CCUACCCAAAAACCCUAGAAUAGAUACUAUAUAAAACACGGAUGAAAAGAAACGAGGGGGAUAGACAUAAAAGCUGCGCAAUUUUUCAGAAGAGCCGGACCCUUUUCAUCGUCUUCUGGACAAAAUUAGAAGAAGUAGCGAACAAAAAGCGAAAAAGACCUAAGACAAUGGAAAAUCAGCCGCAAUACACAUGCUAGAGACCCCAAGAUCUUCAUCUUCUUCAUGGAACUUUAGACAGACCCUAGCGCCAUUGUUCCUCCACCACUGAACCACCCAAUACCGUCGUCUUCUCCGGCGAGCUGGCAGGCUGGUAGCCAUGCUUAGCCAUUGACCACUUCUCUCUUCUCCCCCAGCCCAACUCUCAUACCAUAUCCUAAAACAACCCCCCAGCUGCGGUGAAAAUAGUUCAAAACGACCACCUUCCACUCCAUUUUGACGGCAGGGAUCCAGCUAAAGAACACCAUGUAAACCAGCUGUAAAUCACUCUUAUACCUGCUGAAAAACACCAUGAAAAGCAACUUCAAAAUAACUCCAGCAGUCAAGGUUUAGCUAAGGUCGAUCGAGAUUGCCGUUCGAAUUUCCGGUCAAAGGCGUCCAAGCCAUUUUUGUUGUUCGCUGCUCAAGUUUUGUCGGCUUUAUUCUGCUGUAAAUCUCACUUGGAGUUGUCUACUAGAUCAAGACAUGGAAAAUUAUUUGGCUUAAAUGUUUUGUUGUGCGCUUCUGAGAAUGAGAGAUUGUGAUGACACUGGAAUAGAAAGUUUUAAUGCUUUUGCUAUGGAAUCUACGUUAUCAGGUACUAUGGGUUUCUUCCUAAUCCUGUUGAUUAAUUGUUUUAUGGUUUGUUUCUGUAUGUUUAUCAUGCUAAUAGUUGGAUGGUUUUUGUUUACUGUUAUUUAAGUUGGGCUUCGUAUGUUUUUUUAUCAUCUUUUUGGUGCAAUGUUAUUUUUGUUUAUGUAAGAUUAAUUCCUUAAAAAUGUUUUUUUUUACUUGGCAACAUAAGUUGUGUUUUAGACUAGUCGUAGCUUGUUUUAGGUACGUUAAUUAAAUAAAUCAUCAUAGUUACGGGUACGGUUCCUNNNNNNNNNNNNNNNNNNNNNNNNNGUGACGUAGUUGUGGUAUUAAAUUUCGAAUUAGCUUUAAAUAUGAAUAUCUUCAAUUCGUUUAGUUGAGUAGAUUUCGAGGCGUGCCAUUUAGCAAAUUCUCAUGGCCCUCACUUAAUUAAUUUUAAUCCUUUAGAAGUCGAAGUGUGUCAUUAGUUGAAUUCUCCCUGGCAUGCGCAAAUUUAAAAGGCGUAGUUGCUUUAGGUACGAUUUUAAUAAAAUUACAUUCUUAAAACUCGGGUGCGCAUUGAUGCGACCCAAAUCCAAAUCUCAACGGAGUCAAAAUGUAUUAACAACCACGGGUGCAUUGAUUACGACAUGGUUCGAGACACAUUUCACGACGUUGCAAUUCUUUUUUUAAAAAAAUAAUUAUAAUAAAAGCGGUUCAAAAUUAAAUAAAAGGCACAUAAGCUAGCAUGUGUUAAAAUCAGAUAAAAUCAAAAACAACAGUUGAGCGACCGUGCUAGAACCACGGAGCCCGGGAAUGCCUAACACCUUCUCCCGGAUUAACAGAAUUCCUUACUCGGAUUUCUGGUUCGCGGACUGUUAACAGAGUCAUAAAUUUUCUCGGUUCGGGAUUCAACCGGUGACUUAGGACACCAUUAAUAUCCCAAGUGGCGACUCUAAAUAAUUAAUAAUUAAAUCCCAUUUCGAUUGUCCUUUAAUUGGAAAAACUCCUUUACGCCCCUGCGGGUGUAGGUGAAAAAGGAGGUGUGACACUAGUAUUUCACGAGUAUGGUCAUUGUUGGGCCACGAUGAGUUUGGCCGAACAGUAGCACUCUUUUCUUUUAUCAUGUAAAUAAUCUCAUAUUUAUCCUUGAUUUUAACUCUUCGUGAACUAAGUGAAAUCUAAUAUCAAAAUACUCCCCAAAAAAAAUAAAAAUUACCUCCGUUCUUACCUAUGAUUUAAAAUUAUCUUUCGUCGUACUUCAGAUUGGAACUUGGAGUCAAAAAUAAAUAUAAAAUGAUUUUUCUAUCAAUAUGGGCUCGUUUGAUACAAGGGAUAAAGGAUAAUUAGUCCCGAAAUUAAAUUUGAGAUGAGUUUAUCCCACAUUUGGUUGGGAUAAAAUCGUGGUAUACCUAAUCCCAAGAUUAGUUAUCCCAAGAUUGUAGUAUUUUUUUAAUUCUUAUGGGAGAAUGGGAUAACUAACCCCGAGAUAAUUAAUUAUGGGAUAAUUUGUUUCCCAACCAAACGCCCCAAGGGUACAAAUGGUGCCAAAUUGCAAAGGAAGGAAAAAUUACUCCCUCCAUCGCAUUUUAUAUGGCCCGGUGUUGCUAGACACAAUGUUUACGAAAGAAAAAUAAAAUAGAAUUUAUAAUGUAAAACAAGUCAUUGAAUAACAACUUAUCUCAUUUAUACUAAGCCAAUUAAUGCAAGAUAUAUGUAUUUCAUAUAUACAUUUUAUUACUUACUCAUAAUUAAUUAAAAUAUAUUUACUCUCAUUUUGAUUUUUAAUUACAACAGUUAAAUAGUUUAAUUUGUUUAGGUGUAAAUACAUUGUUUUAAAAUAUUAAAAUAUAUUAUUCUCUUUUGAAACAAACUAAGAAGAAAAAUAUGACAUAUAAAUUAAGAUAAAAUGGUUAAGAUAUGUGAAGUAGUAGAUGAGUUAUGAAUGUUGACCCUUUUUUCUCUCAUUUAAUCAUUUUCUCUUUAUACUAGUUCAAGGCUUCAAGCAGUAGUUAUUUCCAUGGGUGAUGGUGAUGGUCCAAAAUUCAAAACCAACUCCUUACGGGGCGGAGGCAGAAGUUGAGCUAUAAGUUCAAUUGCAUUUAAGAGUUUUUGUUCAAAUAGUGUAUUUUGUGAUAAGAGAUUCAUUAAAUAUGUACAAAUAUUAAAUGUAGAACUCAAUCAUUAAUACUUGAAGUUGUCAUUCUAUAAUCCAGAAUCUAUAUGUCACGAUCCGGAUUUCUUACCCUCGGGAGUCGUGAUGGCGCAUACUAGUGAAAGCUAGGCAAGCCGACCAUUUGC
rnacentral:lncRNA from 1 species